rnacentral:tmRNA from 1 species
GGGGCUGAUUCUGGAUUCGACGGGAUUUGCGAAACCCAAGGUGCAUGCCGAGGGGCGGUUGGCCUCGUAAAAAGCCGCAAAAAAAUAGUCGCAAACGACGAAACCUACGCUUUAGCAGCUUAAUAACCUGCUUAGAGCCCUCUCUCCCUAGCCUCCGCUCUUAGGACUGGGAUCAAGAGAGGUCAAACCCAAAAGAGAUCGCGCGGAUGCCCUGCCUGGGGUUGAAGCGUUAAAACGAAUCAGGCUAGUCUGGUAGUGGCGUGUCCGUCCGCAGGUGCCAGGCGAAUGUAAAGACUGACUAAGCAUGUAGUACCGAGGAUGUAGGAAUUUCGGACGCGGGUUCAACUCCCGCCAGCUCCACCA